rnacentral:lncRNA from 1 species
GUGUGUCACUAGGGGUGGGCUUUGAGGUUUCAAAAGCCUACGGCAGGCCCAGUUGUGUUCACUCUCUCUGCCUGUGGAUCCAGAUGUAAAGCUCUCAACCACUGCUCCAGAGCCAUGCCUGUGUGCUUUCUGCUGUGAUGACCGUGGACUAACCUCUGAAACUGGUGAAUGGGACCAUCAGGAGCCUCUUUUGACUGGUCGGUCACUCAGCCCAGAAGACUUUCUUCAUUUGGCUCAUCUUUGUCGUCACCUCUACAAAGUAGAGAUGCCACAUGAGUUUCUUCACUGAGAUUACUUGAUUUACACCUCAGCACGCUUUGAAGAUUAUUUUUCAAUAAUGACCUGAGUAUCUUCUAACUGUAAGG